UCCCCAAAUUAUUAUAAAGAAUUUUAACUUAGUUUGAAAGUUUGUCUUCCACAGAGUAGCGAUAUUUCUUCCAUGGCCAAGCCCCAUUGUUUGAAACUCUAAUCUCAUGCAUUAAUAUACAAUAAUCAUUUUUCUUCCCUAUCUUAUAAUCAUAGACAACAUCCCAAAGUGAGUAACUCAACUCACGACACAUGAUGGUGAGAUAUAAAUAUAUUUUACAAAACUUUUGUCUGUAUCCAUCGAAUGAAUAUAUCAUGACAUUUAUUUGAAAUUUAUCAUGUCAUUUUAAAAUUAGACUUCUCCUUCUCAUUCGAUCUCAUACAAGAUUUAUUCUAUUUGAAACAGAUACAAGUCGGAAAGGACGAGGACAGGGAAUAACUUAGAAAAAAUAGUUUCUUAUGCGCACACCACCUGUUCGAUAGAAAUCCCAAGUGAAGAAAACCAGCAAAAUGAAGAAUAGGCGAAAUAUUUCCUUUAGCAAGUAGUGUUCUUUUUUCCUUGUAUUGUUCAUGCUAUUUGCAGCUUGUUGUAAUGAAGAUUUGCAAUUCAGUUUAUUUGGAGAGAAUAUCAAAUAUUUAGCAACUAAAUUUUCUGUUGUAAAUGCCAUUUCUUG
rnacentral:lncRNA from 1 species